GAUGCAAAUACGCGUCUUCCACCAAGUGCCUCGCAUCUUACAGAUUUCUGCAAUUCCAUCUCUUACUCUUUACUCUCAGGAUUCAGAUCCACCCAUUGUAUAAUUAUAUGCUCUUCAAGAGAAAUUGAUGACUGUGCAUGGUCCAUUAGCCAGCGGAAUGCUGGCAAAUGUGCCUCGUGUUCAACUACCAGCAAGUUCUCCUCAAGUGAAGUAUUCUCCUUUUUUACCUUUCUGUUUCCUGUGAUGUGAAAACCAUGGCUGGGGUUUCAACAGUUUGGAGAUAACGGCAUGAUCUGAAGUCAGAGGAAUGAGACAGAAGGAACCAAUAUGGCACUCUGGGCCAUCACACCAACCUUAGGCUACAUCUUCCUUGAGGCUGGACUGGAAAAAUAUAAAAGCCAAAUGACCAAGUUAGCUUUGGAAUCCUUAUAUUGCUCUCCAAGAAGCAUACGGUCUGAUCGAGUGUUGAGCACAGCAGGAAAUAUCAUUACAGACCUAGAAUCCAGAUUUCUACCAGAAAAUGCGAAGCAUCUGGCAGUUUUGAAAGAAUGCAGCCACAAGCAUGGUGUGUCGAAUAACUAACAGUGAAAAUAAAGGGAAGAUUGGAG